AGAUUAAGUUAUUAAGGGCGCACGGUGGAUGCCUUGGCACUAGAAGCCUACGAAGGACGUUACUAACGACGAUAUGCUUUGGGGAGCUGUAAGUAAGCUUUGAUCCAGAGAUUUCCGAAUGGGGAAACCCAACACGAGUUAUGUCGUGUUAUCGAUAUGUGAAUACAUAGCAUAUCUGAAGGCAGACGCGGGGAACUGAAACAUCUUAGUACCCGCAGGAAGAGAAAGAAAAAUCGAUUCCCUGAGUAGCGGCGAGCGAAACGGGAAGAGCCCAAACCAACGAGCUUGCUUGUUGGGGUUGUAGGACACUCUAUACGGAGUUACAAAAGAACAAAUUAGACGAAUCAUCUGGAAAGAUGAAUCAAAGAAGGUAAUAAUCCUGUAGUCGAAAGUUUGUUCACUCUUGAGUGGAUCCUGAGUACGACGGAACACGAGAAAUUCCGUCGGAAUCCGGGAGGACCAUCUCCCAAGGCUAAAUACUCUCUAGUGACCGAUAGUGAACCAGUACCGUGAGGGAAAGGUGAAAAGUACCCCGGAAGGGGAGUGAAAUAGAACUUGAAACCGUGUGCUUACAAGUAGUCAGAGCCCGUUAAUGGGUGAUGGCGUGCCUUUUGUAGAAUGAACCGGCGAGUUACGAUUUGAUGCAAGGUUAAGCAGUUAAUGUGGAGCCGUAGCGAAAGCGAGUCUGAAUAGGGCGUUGAGUAUUUGGUCGUAGACCCGAAACCAGGUGAUCUACCCAUGACCAGGCUGAAGUUCAGGUAACACUGAAUGGAGGGCCGAACCGACUUACGUUGAAAAGUGAGCGGAUGAGUUGUGGGUAGCGGAGAAAUUCCAAUCGAACCUGGAGAUAGCUGGUUCUCUCCGAAAUAGCUUUAGGGCUAGCCUUAAGUAAUGAUUAUUGGAGGUAGAGCACUGUUUGGACGAGGGGCCCUUAUCGGGUUACCGAAUUCAGACAAACUCCGAAUGCCAAUCAAUUUUAUCUUAGGAGUUAGAACGCGGGUGAUAAGGUCCGUGUUCGAAAGGGAAACAGCCCAGACCACCAGCUAAGGUCCCAAAAUAUAUGUUAAGUGGAAAAGGAUGUGGCGUUGCCCAGACAACUAGUAUGUUGGCUUAGAAGCAGCCAUCAUUUAAAGAGUGCGUAAUAGCUCACUAGUCGAGUGACACUGCGCCGAAAAUGUACCGGGGCUAAACAUAUUACCGAAGCUGUGGAUUGUCCGUAAGGACAGUGGUAGGAGAGCGUUCUAAGGGCGUUGAAGCAUGAUCGCAAGGACAUGUGGAGCGCUUAGAAGUGAGAAUGCCGGUGUGAGUAGCGAAAGACGGGUGAGAAUCCCGUCCACCGAUUGACUAAGGUUUCCAGAGGAAGGCUCGUCCGCUCUGGGUUAGUCGGGUCCUAAGCUGAGGCCGAUAGGCGUAGGCGAUGGAUAACAGGUUGAUAUUCCUGUACCACCAAAUUUCGUUUUAAGCGAUGGGGGGACGCAGUAGGAUAGGCGAAGCGUACUAUUGGAUUGUACGUCCAAGCAAUGAGACUGAGUGUUAGGCAAAUCCGGCACUCUUAAGGUCAAGUUGUGAUGGGGAGAGGAAAUUGUUUCCUCGAGUCGUUGAUUUCACACUGCCAAGAAAAGCCUCUAGCUAGAAUUUUGGUGCCCGUACCGCAAACCGACACAGGUAGUCAAGAUGAGAAUUCUAAGGUGAGCGAGCGAACUCUCGUUAAGGAACUCGGCAAAAUGACCCCGUAACUUCGGGAGAAGGGGUGCUCUUUAGGGUUAACGCCCAGGAGAGCCGCAGUGAAUAGGCCCAAGCGACUGUUUAUCAAAAACACAGGUCUCUGCUAAACCGUAAGGUGAUGUAUAGGGGCUGACGCCUGCCCGGUGCUGGAAGGUUAAGAGGAGUGGUUAGCUUCGGCGAAGCUACGAAUCGAAGCCCCAGUAAACGGCGGCCGUAACUAUAACGGUCCUAAGGUAGCGAAAUUCCUUGUCGGGUAAGUUCCGACCCGCACGAAAGGCGUAACGAUUUGGGCACUGUCUCAACGAGAGACUCGGUGAAAUCAUAGUACCUGUGAAGAUGCAGGUUACCCGCGACAGGACGGAAAGACCCCGUGGAGCUUUACUGUAGUCUGAUAUUGAAAUUCGGUGCAACUUGUACAGGAUAGGUAGGAGCCUUUGAAACGUGAGCGCCAGCUUACGUCGAGGCGUUGGUGGGAUACUACCCUUGCUGUGUUGGAUUUCUAACCCGCACCAUUUAUCAUGGUGGGAGACAGUGUCAGAUGGACAGUUUGACUGGGGCGGUCGCCUCCUAAAGAGUAACGGAGGCGCUCAAAGGUUUCCUCAGAAUGGUUGGAAAUCAUUCAUAGAGUGUAAAGGCAUAAGGAAGCUUGACUGCGAGACUUACAAGUCGAGCAGGGUCGAAAGACGGACUUAGUGAUCCGGUGGUUCCGCAUGGAAGGGCCAUCGCUCAACGGAUAAAAGCUACCCCGGGGAUAACAGGCUUAUCUCCCCCAAGAGUUCACAUCGACGGGGAGGUUUGGCACCUCGAUGUCGGCUCAUCGCAUCCUGGGGCUGUAGUCGGUCCCAAGGGUUGGGCUGUUCGCCCAUUAAAGCGGUACGCGAGCUGGGUUCAGAACGUCGUGAGACAGUUCGGUCCCUAUCCGUCGUGGGCGCAGGAAAUUUGAGAGGAGCUGUCCUUAGUACGAGAGGACCGGGAUGGACAUACCUCUGGUGUACCAGUUGUCGUGCCAACGGCAUCGCUGGGUAGCUAUGUAUGGACGGGAUAAGUGCUGAAAGCAUCUAAGCAUGAAGCCCCCCUCAAGAUGAGAUUUCCCAACUUCGGUUAUAAGAUCCCUCAAAGAUGAUGAGGUUAAUAGGUUCGAGGUGGAAGCAUAGCGAUAUGUGGAGCUGACGAAUACUAAUCGAUCGAAGACUUAAUCAAAUUUAAAAAGUGUU
rnacentral:rRNA from 1 species